GACGAACGCUGGCGGCGUGCUUAACACAUGCAAGUCGAACGGAAAGGCCCUGCUUUUGUGGGGUGCUCGAGUGGCGAACGGGUGAGUAACACGUGAGUAACCUGCCCUUGACUUUGGGAUAACUUCAGGAAACUGGGGCUAAUACCGGAUAGGAGCUCCUGCUGCAUGGUGGGGGUUGGAAAGUUUCGGCGGUUGGGGAUGGACUCGCGGCUUAUCAGCUUGUUGGUGGGGUAGUGGCUUACCAAGGCUUUGACGGGUAGCCGGCCUGGGAGGGUGACCGGCCACAUGGGAACUGAGGUACGGCCCAGACUCCUACGGGAGGCAGCAGUGGGGAAUAUUGCACAAUGGGCGGAAGCCUGAUGCAGCAACGCCGCGUGCGGGAUGACGGCCUUCGGGUUGUAAACCGCUUUCGCCUGUGACGAAGCGUGAGUGACGGUAAUGGGUAAAGAAGCACCGGCUAACUACGUG
rnacentral:rRNA from 1 species